UCAGGCCUAACACAUGCAAGUCGAGCGGCAGCGGGAAAGUAGCUUGCUACUUUUGCCGGCGAGCGGCGGACGGGUGAGUAAUGCCUGGGAAAUUGCCCAGUCGAGGGGGAUAACAGUUGGAAACGACUGCUAAUACCGCAUACGCCCUACGGGGGAAAGCAGGGGACCUUCGGGCCUUGCGCGAUUGGAUAUGCCCAGGUGGGAUUAGCUAGUUGGUGAGGUAAUGGCUCACCAAGGCGACGAUCCCUAGCUGGUCUGAGAGGAUGAUCAGCCACACUGGAACUGAGACACGGUCCAGACUCCUACGGGAGGCAGCAGUGGGGAAUAUUGCACAAUGGGGGAAACCCUGAUGCAGCCAUGCCGCGUGUGUGAAGAAGGCCUUCGGGUUGUAAAGCACAUGAGCGAGGAGGAAAGGUCAGUAGCUAAUAUCU
rnacentral:rRNA from 1 species